rnacentral:rRNA from 1 species
UACAGAGGGUGCGAGCGUUAAUCGGAAUUACUGGGCGUAAAGCGCGCGUAGGCGGCUUCGCAAGUCGGAUGUGAAAUCCCCGGGCUUAACCCGGGAACUGCAUUCGAGACUGCGUUGCUAGAGUAUGGGAGAGGGAGGUGGAAUUUCAGGUGUAGCGGUGAAAUGCGUAGAUAUCGGGAGGAACACCAGUGGCGAAGGCGACUACCUGGCCUGUUCUUGACGCUGAGGCGCGAAAGCUAGGGGAGCAAACGGG